rnacentral:rRNA from 1 species
AGAGUUUGAUCCUGGCUCAGAUUGAACGCUGGCGGCAUGCCUUACACAUGCAAGUCGAACGGCAGCGCGGGGCAACCUGGCGGCGAGUGGCGAACGGGUGAGUAAUAUAUCGGAACGUACCCUGGAGUGGGGGAUAACGUAGCGAAAGUUACGCUAAUACCGCAUACGAUCUAAGGAUGAAAGCAGGGGACCGCAAGGCCUUGUGCUCCUGGAGCGGCCGAUAUCUGAUUAGCUAGUUGGUGGGGUAAAGGCCCACCAAGGCAUCGAUCAGUAGCUGGUCUGAGAGGACGACCAGCCACACUGGAACUGAGACACGGUCCAGACUCCUACGGGAGGCAGCAGUGGGGAAUUUUGGACAAUGGGCGCAAGCCUGAUCCAGCAAUGCCGCGUGAGUGAAGAAGGCCUUCGGGUUGUAAAGCUCUUUUGUCAGGGAAGAAACGGCGAGUUCUAAUACAGCUUGCUAAUGACGGUACCUGAAGAAUAAGCACCGGCUAACUACGUGCCAGCAGCCGCGGUAAUACGUAGGGUGCAAGCGUUAAUCGGAAUUACUGGGCGUAAAGCGUGCGCAGGCGGUUUUGUAAGUUUGUCGUGAAAUCCCCGGGCUCAACCUGGGAAUGGCGAUGAAGACUGCAAGGCUAGAGUUUGGCAGAGGGGGGUAGAAUUCCACGUGUAGCAGUGAAAUGCGUAGAUAUGUGGAGGAACACCGAUGGCGAAGGCAGCCCCCUGGGUCAAAACUGACGCUCAUGCACGAAAGCGUGGGGAGCAAACAGGAUUAGAUACCCUGGUAGUCCACGCCCUAAACGAUGUCUACUAGUUGUCGGGUCUUAAUUGACUUGGUAACGCAGCUAACGCGUGAAGUAGACCGCCUGGGGAGUACGGUCGCAAGAUUAAAACUCAAAGGAAUUGACGG